UUCUGAGUCACUUGGGGAUCUUGGUGAAAUGCAGACUGAUUCAGUAGGUCUGUGAUGGGUUUGAGAUUCUGCAUGUUUAACAGACUCCUAGGUAAUUCCAAU
rnacentral:miRNA from 1 species